CUGAGGGUAAUUUUGUCCUUGUAAAAUGAACUAGGAAGCGUUUUCUUUUUUUCUAGUUCCUAGACUAUAAGAAAAAUUGGGAGGAAGGUGUCUAAAAAGGAGAAAGUUGAAAAGGAGUAAAUGAAUGGAGCUGUCCACAGUAGUCACAGAUGGGAGCAAUGAAAACAACUGGUUACACUCAGUUCUUUACAACACUUGAACCUGAACCUCCAUCAGUCCCAUAGACCCCAGAUGAGCAAGGCAUAUUUUGGGAUCUGAGAGUCUCAGCUGUCUCCAGCCAAAAAGAAGAUGUAUAUCUGCAGCUUGAAAUUAUGAGUCUAUUUGAAAACAUCUAACAGUAAUGAGACCGAUUACCAGAGGGGAAAAAUCACCAUCAA